GCCUCGGUAGCUCAAUGGUAGAGCAGUUGACUCUUAAUCAAUUGGUUCUAGGUUCGAGUCCUAGCCGGGGCA
rnacentral:tRNA from 1 species